UGUACAUAAAUUUUAUCAAAUAUAACUUAAAAUAAAAAAAUAGUUUAAAAUAUUAAUUUUAGGUUCUUAAUUAGGUUAUCAAACAUCUUCAAAGUUGGACUGAUUUGGAUAUCCAUCAUGUGCCCCGUGAAGAUGGUUGAAUCUCAUUCAACAACUUAGAUAUCUGUCAUUUGUUCCCUGAGGGUAGUCGAAUCUUAUUCAACUGAUUCAAAUAUCUAUCAGGACUAGGGCACAUCCAAGUCUUCUUGCUUCCGCUAGUCACCACAAGGCUUGUUUUAUUGUCAAACCAUUGCUUGGAUUUUACCUACAGUGCCUGUCUUGCACUUGGUCUGGAAAAACUCAGACGCUUCCAAAUUUUGAGUUGGUAACAGUGCAGGAGGGGAACCUUGGAGUUGGACUAGCAUGAAUAAAUAAUUUAACAUUUAUUUUAUGGCAUGAAAUGCAAGUAAAAAGGUAAGGGUAAUAUCUUCUUGUCAAUUGAUGAUACGGGAGGACAAAAAUCCUGUGGCUAUGAGGGUUUCAAUUUCCUUUUAUAGACUUGUGCGGCAUUUCCUCCAAAGUAGAUUAUAUUUGUAUAAACUAGAAAUAAACAUGGAUAUCUGUUAAUGCUACCCCAAAGAAGACUUAAGAAAUACUCAAGAACUGCAAAAAUCAAAUCAACAGCAGAACAUGUACAACAAAAAUUGAAGAGAUAUACAACUGUUUAUGUGUGCUAUAUGAGGUCUCUGAUAUUGCUUUACCUUGCAUCUAGAAUUGUAACUGUG
rnacentral:misc_RNA from 1 species